UUUUUUUUUUUUUUUGUAUUUUUAAUAGAGACGGGGUUUCACCAUGUUAGCCAGGAUGGUCUCGAUCUCCCAACCUCGUGAUCCGCCCGCCUCAGCCUCCCAAAGUGCUGGGAUUACAGGCUUGGGCCACCGCAUCCGGCCUCAAGACUCUUAAAAAGUAUUUAUCUUUUGUAUGUCUACAAAUAAUACAUGACUUGAUUGUUGGUUUUUUAUUAAUGCAACUUGUCGUCAAACUCACAUUCUUUCUCCCUCUGCUCUUCUCUUGAGGUUCUCUACUCCCUUUUCAUGACCUGGCUCUACAGGAUUAAGGUCAGCUCUCUAAUAUUACCUCUGUACCUCCUUCCAUGCACUCGGUUUGCCCCUUAUCUCAAAUGCAGGUCUCACCAUCACACGUAGACUUGAAAAACUCAUAGAAAUGUAGGUAAUGUAUGAAUUAUUGUGUAGUUAAUCAUUAAAUUGAUGGCUACAACUUAAAAAUAUUAUGUUUUAAUAUCUUACAAUAUAAAACAAUGGCAUGAAACACAAUCCCACAUUUAACUUAAUUCCAGCUAGAUAAAAGACAAAUGAAUGCUUAAAAAUACUACUAGGAGAGAUUCCAGGAAAUUAACUUGGGUUGCCUUUGGAAAGAGAGAUGAGUAACAAAUUAUAUUCUGAUUCUGUUUCUUUAUAAAAUACAUAUUCCCAAAAUAUUUCUAGGAUGAGCUUAGAUUUUUAGUUAUAUAUAAAGAGAGACUAUGUGUAUAUGUAUAUUUACACUAAAAACUGGAAAUAAUAAAUUUAAAUGAUUGUAUGGAAAUAUGUCAGUGUGAAAUGUUAUCUCCAAACCUUUUGCUAAAAUGAACAGGAGACAGAUUCUUAAACUAUAUUUAGAAUUAGGAAUGUCUGAUCAGAGUGUCUUUCUUCUCCUUGGUCUUUUAUUUAUGGCUUUACAGUUUGUUCAUCCCAGACUGGAAGAAUUUCAUCAAUAACAAAAAUGGGCUCCAAGGAAUGGCUUUCACAGCAUAGCACAGUCCCCAAACUCCUAAAUAGUGUUCCUUUAUUAAGAUAUAAAAUCAGGUUAAGUGCUUCAGGAGGACAGACUAAACUACCACUUUUAAUGAAAAUUAGGCAGAAAUACCCACCAAUUAUUAGAAGGUUUUUUUCAAUUAUUAAUUUGAUGACCUGGGAAAUAAUUUACAAAUUUAAAACAGAAAUUAUAUUUUCUAAGCAAUUUUAUAGAAGCUUAUUGCAGUUUAUUUGAACAUGUGAGUAUGUAUGAUUUUAAUUGAGAUAUUUUAACUGUGUUUUUAUAAAUUGGUCUAGAGUACUUAUGACUUAGUUAAUUUGCAAAUGUUUGAAGGCUGAGUGAGUUCCAUGAAAAGGUUUUAUUUCUUACUGAGUUUGAUCAAUCAGUUUAAAAUGGUGACUGAUUUACAUCUCCAAGCUCGUUACUUAUAUAAAACAAAGGGACAAAAGAAGUAGCAUAGACCACAAUCUCUGAUGGUAGAGUGGAUAUCAACUCUUACGUGAUGUUAAUCCAAACGGAAAUCCAAUCAAGAUUAUUUCAGAUUGCAAGAUGAUUUCACGCUGAAGUUGAAUCCAGCCUUACAGUGCAAACAAAUCAGAUCAAUGGGAAUCCCUCUGUUAGCACUCUUCGGUGAGGUGAGAAACAGCCAGGAAUUUUCCCACUUACAGUGAAAUAAACCUGUCCACCAAAACCCUAGAGCGGGGGAAUUCAUCUCUAAAUAAAGUGCUAAGGCAGGGUCAUUGCCUGAUUCUUGUCUAGUUCAAAGGACAAAAGGAACGUUCUGUCCACUUCGCAUGAUGCUCCUUUGCCAAAUUUAUGUCUAAGUCAGGAAAGAAAAUGCAAGAGUCAUAUGGGCUCUGUCUAUGCACAGACAUUUUCUGUGGGCACAAUAAUAAUCUUCCACGGUGAAGGGAAAACUCCUGUUGGAAUGUUGAUGCUGUCUAGUCUAGUGCCUAUAUCUGUUUCUGAGUCUGGCUGGGGCUAAGUAUAAGCUAAGAAGUUUCCAUUUGAAAUGCUUCACUUGAAUGUCUCAGACAGCUAUUUUCUUUCUCUCUGUCUAAAUAUUUGAAGACACAUUUUACUCAUGUUCAUCAAACUCACAUAUUAAUACAUCAAGAUGUCCAAUUUCUCUACUGCAUCUGUGCACCCUUGAGCAAGUCACUAAGUAUCACUGAGCCUCCAUGUCCUUAUAAGCCAAUCUAUGGGUUGGACUAAAUGGAUGAUUUCCUAAGGGGGAAUUGGAGGUCCUCAUUUGGAUUAGUGUCAGAAACAAGUACAGAGGGAGCUUUGUUUUAACGACUAUUGUCCCUUCCAUACCGAUUACAGGCCUCUGUUGAUUCCCCAGCUGUGUCUCUCUUUACCAUCUUAUUGAAUUUGGACUCGACUUCUAACUAUCAGCCUUUAUAUCUUUUCUGUUGAAGUGAUUUUUCCAUGGCCAGAGCCUGCUUAAGGCCUAACAGGCUGGAAGUGCAAGAGAGUUGAUGUCUCCUGGAAACAACCAUCAACCAAUGACUCAAGAAAGUUGGUGGAUAAAUAUCCCAGCUCCCUUGCACCUCCAGUGGGGAAACUCUGAGGCUUGUAUUUGAUCAUGCCUCCCAGUUUCCAGUGGGAUUGACUCUGGUUGCCCACAGUAGUAAUGGCUUGAUAACAUAUCCUUUAUUGACUACAUCACUUCCCUUCCUCCCUUCGACAUACUUCUAAUGCUGUUCCCUGGGAACUUCUUCAAAAUAAACGAUUUUCAUUCAAGUCCUUGACUCAGGACCUACAUGUGAUGAAACUGAUUAAGAAUAAUAAACACUUAGUAUUUCUGUUUUUUUCUGUGACUAAAAUUCCAUGAUCCUCAGAUACCCUCUUCUUAAACACAGCAUUUUUUUGUUUUGUUUUGAGAAGGAGUCUCGCUCUGUCACCCAGGCUGGAGUGCAGUGGCAUGAUCUUGGCUCAGUGCAACCUCUGCCUCUUGUCUUCAAGCAAUUCCCCUGCCACAGCCUCCAGAGUAGCUGGGAUUACAGGUGCUCGCCACCAUGCCUGGCUAAUUUUUGUAUUUUUAAUAGAGAUGGGGUUUCACCCAUAUUGGUUGGUCUUGAACUCCUGACUUCAGGUGAUCCGCCUGCCUCAGCCUCCCAAAGUGCUGGGAUCACAGGCAUAAGCCACUAUGCCAGGCCAACCACAGCAUUUUAAAUAAGAUUGUUCUUUGGCCUUGAUUCCUUCUCUUUUGCUGUGUAAACUAAUUGCUGGAAACUUUUGAGCUCUAAUUUGUAUGUUUCAAACACAAAGUAGUCUUUAAAAACAAAGUCAUAAAGAAAACCUUAAAAAAAUCUACAUUUAUCUUUUUUUCCCUUUUGCACAAUGUCCAUCAGCUGCUAGCUGCAAAAAUGUAAAUGUGUAAUUACCCUGAAAUAACAGACUUACAGAAGCAUGGAAUUCUUGGCCUUUUGUUCUGUUUUCAUUUGUUCAUGGCCUGAAAGCCAUGAAGGAAACUAUCACUGUAAUCACCCACUGAUACUCCAAAGUCCUGCUUGGAGAGAAGCAAGAAACCAGAAGGAAAAAGCUCUUUAUGCCUUUGGGAGCUCAGAGUAAAUCUUGAUUAACAGAGAUCAAAGUGAAAGCCAAAGUCAUUUAGAACUUGGUCUUUUUACAGAGAGGUCAGAAGGAUCAUUUGGCCAGAGUCUCACACUUUGAAUUAGAAUGUGAAUAAUUGGGACCUCUUGUCCCUGUUGAUGGUAGUAGCAUGACAAACUGCUUUGCAAAACAGAGGUAUGUGUAUAUACUAAACACUCAUGAAUAUAUAGUUUACAAUAGGUUCAGAGAAUGGAAUAGUAUGCAGCAUUGAAAAUAAUUGCUGCCAAACAUAUUGACAUCAUUCCCUUGAUACCCCAUCCUUCGGCAAACACAGCACCAUUUCUCUGUUCCAUUUCCUAGUUAAAGUUCUUGAAAAAGUUGUCAACAUUGCUGUCUCCUUUCUCACCAUUCAUUAUCUCCUGAAUAUUCACUUGAAUGUUUGUCCUCCUUUUUCUAGAGAGGCUGUAUUCACCAAGGUCACCAAUGACCCCUAUGUUGGCAAAUCCAAUAAUGACAUUUCCUUUCUCAUCUUGCUUGACAUCUCAGUAGCUUUCAAGAUAAGUGAUCAUAUCCCUCUACUUUAACUAUUGUCUUCUAAUGGGUUUUAGAAUUUUGGACUUUCCUGCUAUCCUCCUACUUUUCUGGCCAUUCCUUCUCAAUAUACUUUUCAGGUCCACGGCAUUUUGUGUUACUGGAGUGUCUAGGAUUCUUUUCUGAGAAAUUUUCUUCAUCUGCACACUCCCUGUAGGUGGUCUCACCCUGUCUAUGCCCUAAAUAUUAAAUAUAUAAAUACUAAUAAUUCCCAAGCCUACAUCUCCAAAAAUGACCUUUCACCAGCUCUCCCGACUUCAAUAUCUAUUUUUUACACAUUUCCACAUGAAUGCAGGGCCAGCUUCAUGAGUGUGAGGCCUCUGCAGUCACACAGGGCCCAGUACUCAGAAGGACCCAUGCUUAGUUUAAUGUUCUGCAGUCAUUGUCCUGAAAUUCUCCAUCAUUUUAUCUUUGAGCUUGUGUUUUGUAACUGAAGUCUGAUCGAACAAUGGAGAAUGCACAUAAGCAGAGGAGAUAUGUGCAAGAUACAUGUCCAUUGUUCUUUGCUGCCCUGCUCACAUAUUGAAUUUGCAAUGCUCGGGUGCACAGAAUGUCCAUGGAUCCACAAUGAGAGUUCAAUGAGGCUCAAACCAACUACAUGAUAAAAGUGUUACAUCUCCAGGUUCUCACAUCUAUGAAAAGUCAUGCUUUCCAUUAGAAUCAGAACUUGCUUCAAAUGCAGAAAUAGCAUUCUAAAACAUGAAACACCAAUAAUCCUAAUCAUUAUGUGUUAUUUCUAUUAGCCAACCAUUACACUGAAUAUAAUGACAUAGAAAAAGUGAGAAAGAUGGAACAACCCAGAGUUCCCCUUCUUUCCAGUCCUUCCUUUCUCAUAAGUAAGCUGAAGGUACAGAAGGCUGGUAGGGUGUUCAUGUAUCAAGAAGUAAAAUAAAAACAAUGAUACUAGUUUUGUACAGUAGUUCCUCUAUCUUGAUAAGAACAAAAAACAUAGGCAUGUACUAUCUAUGAAAUGUGAAUUGUAUAAUUUUUGUGAUUCUGUAUAUAAAUUAAAUGAUUAAAAUGGCAUUUUAUUUGCUGAAAAUAGCAUUGCACAAUGUAAGAAUGAAUGUUAAAACUCGUAAUAAACAAUUUUAAUUUUUUUUUACUUAGAAUGACAUUAAAUAGUAAUUUUUAAAAAAAUACCAUUACCAGUCAAGAGAGAGAUUGCAGAAGAAAGAAAAGUGUUCUAUUUUAGUAUCUUUAUUGGCACUUCCCCCAUUGCUUUUUGGAAAAGGGCCCCUCAGUUUCACUUUUGGAGUGUGCCAGCAAAUAUGUAAUCAGCCCUAAUGACUAACAGACACCCCGAGCUUUAAAUGUCCAUAAAGUGUUCUUAGUUCUUCCCUUUCUUUCCAAAUCUUCCCUCGUUUUCCUCAUCUUGGUCACAGCCCAUCAACCCACCAGUUGCUCACAUAAAAUAAUUGAGUUAGCCUUUAUUCCAUGACUUUCUCCAUCAGUAGGACAUAGGGCAUUAUCUCCACACAGUAUACAUCAGGCCUUCCAUUCCUCUCAAUCCUCUAUUACUCUUUAGUUCAAGUCGUCACCAUCUCUUGCCUAGACAAGUACAGGCCUGAAUUUCCUGUUGUCUCUCCACAAGCCAUCUUAUAAACCAUCCUCAAACAGAUCCUUUAUUUUUUAUUUAUUAUUUUUUUUUGAGACGGAGUAUCACUUGGUCACCCCGGCUGGAAUGCAGUGGCAUGAUCUCAGCUCACUGCAGCCUCUGUCUCCCGAGUUCAAGUGAUUCUCCUGCCUCAGCUUCCCGAGUAGCUGGGAUCACAGGUGUGUGGCACCACGCCCAUCUAAUUUUUGUCUUUUUGGUAGAGAUGGAGUGUCACCAUGUUGGCUAGGUUGGUCUUGAACUCCUGACCUCAAGUCAUCCCUCUGUCCCAGCCUCCCAAAGUGCUGGGAUAGGGAUUACAGGCGUGAGCCACCAUGCCUGGCCUCCCAAACAGAUUUCUAAAAAACACAAAUAGGUAUUUCCCUUUUUCUACUAAAAACAUUCAAAUGAGUCUCCUUGCUCUUUGCAUGACACCCAAAUUCCAACCAUUGUCUCCACAGUUUUACAUGACCUGGUGCCUACAUACCAUUCCACACUCUCUUUAUUCCAUUCCACUUUUCAUACACCAUGGCUCUGCUUCACAGGACUUGUGAUUUCUCCAAAAUCCCAGGAUUACUUUGACUUUAAAGCCCUUUUGUACUAAUGAGCUUUCUUCUCUGUGUGCUCCAGACCCCUGAUCUUUGCCUGGAUGGCUCUUCUUUUCAUACAGAUCUCAGCUUAAAUGUCUCCUCCUCAAAGAGUCCUCCUCUAACCACUCAAAAGAAAACAAAAUACACCUGGUUACUCCAACUGGCACCUUGCUUUAGUUACUUCAUACCAUUUUUCCUGAUCAUGAACUCAUUUGCUUAUUGCCUGUCUUCCUUCACUGGGAUUUCAGCUCCGUGAGAUCAGGGACCUUAACUGUCUUAUUUAUUGUUGUUUCUGGGGUCUCUAAGAUAGUGUCUGGAACAAAGUAGGUGUCAGCUGAAUGAGUAAAUAAAAAAAUUAAUCAGCGUGGUAAGUGCAGUUGUGUUUCCUCUGUUGAUGGGUGUGUUCGUAUAUAUGUAUCUUUACAUAUAUGCACCCACAUGCAAAAACGACAUAUAUACCUAUAUAUAUUCAUAUAUUACCGUAGAUAUUGGCAUUGUCUCCUCUUCACCCACUCUCUACCUUCCUCACUGGGUGGAAGCCACAGACUUAGAGGGGAAUUGACUCCACCACUGUUGCAGAGGGGUGCCCUGAUCUGCUUACAACCAAUCUUAUCCCCCAGCCACAGUUUUGGGUUCACCGACAGGCUUGUAGCUGAUAGUAAGAUGACCUCUGAAAUUUUGUUCAAUGGUUGAGGGAUAAAAGCCCUCAUUCUGACCCUCAGUGUGAGCAUGGAAGCAUCUAGUUUCUAGUUCUAGUUUCUGUUGGCAUCAAAAUGACAACCAAGAGGACAGCCUGCUUUGGCAUGAAGCAAACAUUAAGGAAGAGUGAAGAGAAACAACCAGACCUUUAAUGACCUGGUUGAGCUGCUGGCUGGUUCAAACCUGAAGCCCAACCCUUGGGCUUUCUAGUUACACAGUUACAUGAAGAAAUAUAUUUCAUUGCUCAAGCCAGUGAGAGUUGGAUUUUCUGUUCCUUGCAAAUAAAACAUUGUAAUUGACACUGGUAGUAAAUUUUAAUCACUAUUAGCCUUUUGGAUGUAUUUCCUUCCAGUAGUUUUUAAUGCUGUUGAAAAAUAAGAUAGCUGCAACUGGAAUGCAUGUAUACUUUUGUGCAUCAUUUUUCUACUUAUUGUUACAGUAUAAGCAUUUAUUUUCAUGCUAAUACUUACCUUAACAACCCUAAUCUUAUUGAUUAUAAAAAUAUCAGUGAUUGCAUACACUAUAAUCUACUUAAUCAUUUCCCUAUUUUUGUGGACACAUAGGAUAUUGUCACUCUCUUCAAGUUUUAUUUCGUUUCUUUCAUACUUAUAUCCUAGAAAUUUAAUCAUUAGGUCAGUGUAUGUGAACAUUGAUUUACCUAUUGAAACACAAUGCCAAGUGGCUUUUAAAAAUAAUAUUCUUAGUACCAACAGUACCCUGCCAUAUUAGGCUUUAUCACAGUUUUAUAAAAAUUUGAUAAUUAAAUACCCCUCAAUUUGGAUUAAUCCUGUUUUAAUUUCUGAUUACUAGACAGUUUGGAUAAUUUCUGAUAUGUAUUUUACUAUUAACAUUUAUCUUUUGGGGAAAUACUUGUUUACUUUGUAGUUGGAUUUUAGAGACAGCUUUUCACCGUGGCAGAUGUAGUCAGUGUCCUGGCAAUAUUUUCUGAGUUCCCAUCAUUCCUACGAUGACUUUCGAGGCAAACAACUGAAGCUUUCUGCCUAAAGGCACUCUUGCUGGUGUCCAGUAGGCCCAAGUAUGGGAUGAGCAGCAGUGGUUGAAUGAAAGAGCAUUUCAAGGGAGAGCUCCCUUACAAACCAGAUGCAUCCAUCAAUCAAAACCUGUUGGUGGAUAACUACCUCUGCUCCCUUGCCCCUCAUGUGGGAUAACAGUAAGAUCUGUGUUAUAACCUCUCAUCCCCAAUACUCCAGUGGGAUUAGCUUCCAGUUGUCCACAAUAGUAACCUGCUUGUUAACUCACACCAUAUUGGCUGCCUUGCUGCCUUUCCUUCUCUCUAUUUCUCCCCGCUGUACUGGUGCUUGUUGACAUCACCUUCCAGAUAAACUCUUUGUACCCAAAAGUGUCUCUCAGUCUUUGGUUCUAGAGAAUCCACCUUAAGAGAGCCAUCAAAUGAGAUUUACUUUAGUGCAAUGACUUAGGUGCUUAAGAAUACUUGCUGAACAUUUGAAUUCUUCCCUACUCUGUGUAAAGAAAAAAAAAAAUUCAAAAUAAAGCAGUUCACUUUUCUUUGGAAAUAAGCAGGAAUAUUUGAUACAGUGUACACUGGUCUUUUAAAACUCUUAAAACACUUUCAAUAAAAGGGAGCAAAAAUAACUAAUGAUUUUUAUGACUUUUAAGCUAAAAGGAAUAUUUAUUCAUUCUAUAUGUGGAUUCAGAACUUUGUUUUUCCUUCUGUGGGGUACUUCAUGGAGCUUUUGAAAAGUACAAAUUUUUUUCUCCACAGGCUUUAAUCAUUAUGCUUUAAGGAAAUCUUUUGAAAUGAAGGCAGCAUAUGUUGCAAUAACUAGGCCCUUUCAUUAAAUUCAUCCCUUAAGAAAAGCCCACGCAGUAACUGAUUUUUGACCUCUGUUCAAAUAGAACUUUGGCUAGAAAAUUCUCAGAGGUAAAAUACCAACAGCAAUAGGAAUGUUUCAUAUUUUAAAGUUUUCCAGUAACCACAAUACACUUUAUCCAGCAUAUAUUUGGUUUGGGCUGUUUGAAGUUCACUUGAAGUUUAGACGGUGUUUUAAAGAUUGCAUGAAUACCCUGUUUUCCAAGAAUACAUGACCCAUUUUAAGGAUUGAUAAUACAAGAAGAAAUUCUUCUUUUAAAGAAAAAUGUGUUGCUAAGACAAUAUCACAACUAUAUAUCAAUGUCCUUUCAAAACACUGCAUUUUAGAACUUCUGACUUCUUCAGAUUUCCAAUUUGGUUAUGAGAUCUGAAAACUUAACUGAUAAUAGAUUCCCUUUAAAGUAUAAAUUGACUUCAAAGUCACAGCUUUAGUUGCUAAGUCGCAAUUUCUAAGUCAUGUCUUUAAAAAUUUUUAACAACUUCAAAUGGACAUUUCAACAUUGGUUGCUUUUAAGUAGAGAAGGAACAUACCACCUACUAAUGAUUUUUUUAAAGUAUUUAUUUAUUUAUGUGUUUUAGAGUUGGAGUCUUGCUAUGUUGCCCAGGCUAGAGUGCAGUGGCUAUUCACAGGCACCAUCCCACUACUGAUCAGCAAUGAAGUUUCGACUACUAAUGAUUAUUGCUAACCUAUGUUAAAUUAAAGUUUCUGAUGCAUGCCAGUGACAUUGGUUUUAUAUGCAUGAUGAUGUUCACUCAAAAUAAUUGGAAUUUUGGAGGGAAGAUUUUUCCCAUUACUAUUUUAGAGAGAUUUUCCAUCAAGAUCUUGAUGUAUUGGAGAAUACUAAACUUAUGAACAUCAUGUUCCCAGGCAUUGGGUUGUCCACAGGGGAGAAUGAAGUGAAGACUUGGGUAUCCGGAUAAUUUAGGCUAAAAACUGUUAGUGGUCAAGUAGAAGGGGUUCAAGACAGAGGGGGAAAUGGAAUUAAAUUGCCACAGACCUGUAUCAGAGUCAACAUUUUAGCACCCCUCCGCUUUUAACUUUAAGUUAAAACUCUAGUACUUGCUCCCAAACUUGGCCCAUCGUCCCUGGAGCUCAAGUUCUGGAACACACAAAUCAAGAGGCUGCUGCAGAAGUCCGUGACAUUUUAACUGGCUGAAAGUGCUACUGCUUUGCAGUGUUUGUGAGGCCAGUGCCCAGGCCAAUAUCACACAAUGGCCUGAGAUGCCAGUAGUGCUCUCAUUGAGAAAAAUUAGAUGUGAUCUGAUCAAGUUAUUCAGCUAACUGACUCAGGAUCAGAAUUACGAGUUCUGUUAUAUUUCCUUCUACCUUGCAAUUCUGGAUUAAUUUGCUAUUGCAUACCAACACAAGGAACCCUCAAGAACAAAUGACACCUAGCAAAAUUAUAGUAUCAAUAUAUUCUUUUGCCAGUAGGGUCACAGAAUAAAUCAUCUUCUGUUGAUGCUGUAUGUCAUGAAUGUGUAGUUUGAAAAAAAAAAAAAAAAGAAGUGAUUUAUAAUCUCAAGAUAGCUCAAGCUAAGUAACCGAAGUGCAGAAAACCUAAAACAGACUUCACCACCUGUAAGUACUAUAGAUAUGUAGCCAUAUAUCAUAGCCAGUUAAGCACUAAAUUUAUGUUACAACACCAGGAACAUUCCAAGGAAAUUCAAUAAUAUCUAUUUAUUAAAUUCAGUGCUAUGAUUACCAACCAAGCAAAACAAAGCUGGAACAUAUUCCAUGGAAAAUCUAACUGCUCAAAAGAUGCCCAACAGAAAUGUUAUGUUUAUUUGGUGAUAUUUAAAUGAUGAUCAUCCUCUCAUUCAUAUUCACAUGCUUCCUAAAAAAUGUUGUUUUUUACAUUCCACAGGAUAAGUCACACUUCAUUUCUCAGCUCUGUUCGACUUUGAAGGUGCUAGAAUAUCUGUUAUCCUGCUUAUUAGAAACAAUCAACUUUUUGACAAGGGAAUAAAUUCAGAAGAGGAAUCCAGCGCUGCUGUGGUGGCUUUAGUCACUAGUGCACACACUUCUUGUAAAUUUCUGCUCUCCCAUCCUUAGCAAUGACAUCCAAAUGCAAAUUUGCCUAAAUCCAGUCCAAAAUGGCAGUUGGAACCUCAAUCUUCACCUCCGUUUUGCAGGUAUCAUGAAGGAGGAAAUGACUGAGGACAAAACACAGGUUCUGGGGUCUAUAUCCUCUUGAGAAAAAAAAUCUUCCUUAAAGUCCUACCUUGCCACUUUUACUUACACCACAUUAGUCAGAAUUAGUCACAUGGCUACUCCAGUCUUCUAGCUGGUUACAUUUCCAGAGAAAGGAGAGGAAAGCUGUUGGUUAAACAGAUAUACCAUAUAUUUCUGUUUGCCUAUUCAGACCCACUUUCUUUUUUUUAUUUUUUAUUAUACUUUAAGUUCUUUAUUAUAUAAUACUUUAUUAUAUUUAAAGUAUAAUAAAGUUUAUUAUACUUUAAGUUUUUAUUAUACUUUAAGUACAUGCGCAGAAUGUGCAGGUUUGUUACAUAGGUAUACACGUGCCAUGGUGGUUUGCUGCACCCAUCAACAUGUCAUCUACAUGAGGUAUUUCUCCUAAUGAUAUCCAUGCCCUAACCCCCCAACCACUGACAGGCCCCAGUGUGUGAUGUUCCCCUUCCUGUGUCCGUGUGUUCUCAUUGUUCAACUCCCACUUAUGAGUGAGAACAUGUGGUGUUUGGUUUUCUGUUCUUGUGUUAGUUUGCUGAGAAUGACGGCUUCCAGCUUCAUCCAUGUCCCUGCAAAGGACAUGAACUCAUCCUUUUUUAUGGCUGCAUAGUAUUUCAUGGUAUAUAUGUGCCACAUUUUCUUUAUCCAGUCUAUCAUUGAUGGGCAUUUGGGUUGGUUCCAAGUCUUUGCUAUUGUGAACACUGCCGUAAUAAACAUACAUGUGCAUGUG